AACGCGAAGAACCUUACCAGGUCUUGACAUCCCUCUGACCGUCCUAGAGAUAGGGCUUCCCUUCGGGGCAGAGGAGACAGGUGGUGCAUGGUUGUCGUCAGCUCGUGUCGUGAGAUGUUGGGUUAAGUCCCGCAACGAGCGCAACCCUUGAUUUUAGUUGCCAGCACAUCAUGGUGGGCACUCUAGAAUGACUGCCGGUGACAAACCGGAGGAAGGCGGGGAUGACGUCAAAUCAUCAUGCCCCUUAUGACCUGGGCUACACACGUACUACAAUGGCCAGUACAACGGGCUGCGAAAGAGCGAUCUGGAGCGAAUCCUUUAAAGCUGGUCUCAGUUCGGAUUGGAGGCUGCAACUCGCCUCCAUGAAGUCGGAAUUGCUAGUAAUCGCGGAUCAGCAUGCCGCGGUGAAUACGUUCCCGGGUCUUGUACACACCG
rnacentral:rRNA from 1 species